rnacentral:rRNA from 1 species
CCUACGGGGGGCUGCAGUAAGGAAUAUUGGACAAUGCCCGCAAGGGUGAUCCAGCCAUGCCGCGUGCAGGAAGAAGGCCCUAUGGGUCGUAAACUGCUUUUGCACCAGGGAAAACCCCGCUACGAGUAGCGGGCUGAUAGUAUGGUGAGAAUAAGCAUCGGCUAACUUCGUGCCAGCAGCCGCGGUAAGACGAAGGAUGCAAGCGUUAUCCGGAUUCAUUGGGUUUAAAGGGAGCGUAGGCGGCCUGAUAAGUCAGUGGUGAAAUCUCUCGGCUU